UACGUAGGGUGCAAGCGUUGUCCGGAAUUAUUGGGCGUAAAGAGCUCGUAGGCGGUUUGUCGCGUCUGCUGUGAAACCCGAGGCUCAACCUCGGCCUGCAGUGGGUACGGGCAGACUAGAGUGCGGUAGGGGAGAUUGGAAUUCCUGGUGUAGCGGUGGAAUGCGCAGAGUAUCAGGAGGAACACCAAUGGCGAAGGCAGAUCUCUGGGCCGUAACUGACGCUGAGGAGCGAAAGCAUGGGGAGCGAACAGG
rnacentral:rRNA from 1 species